rfam:Felis catus isolate Cinnamon breed Abyssinian chromosome B1, whole genome shotgun sequence.
GCCUGGGUGGCUCAGUCGGUUGAGCGUCUGACUUCGGCUCAGGUCAUGAUCUUGUGGUUUGUGAGUUUGAGCCCCGCGUCGGGCU